rnacentral:rRNA from 1 species
AUGGCCAAGUAUUGGUGGGGCAGUUCAAUAGACAAACGAUCCUUGCAUUGGGUGUCUUGGAAGAAACUUGCAACACCAAAAAUCAAGGGCGGGAUGGGUUUCAAAGAUUUGCAUCUUUUUAAUCUAGCUAUGCUAGGGAAGCAAGGCUGGAGACUUAUUACCCACCCGAAAACCCUUUGUUCCAGAGUUCUGAAAGGAAAGUAUUUCCCGUUGACAGACUUUCAGAAUGCCACUGUACCAGCUAGAUCAUCCAGCACGUGGAGAGCCAUUGUGGCGGGCAGGAAGGCUCUUAAUAUGGGCCUUAUAAAACGAGUUGGAGAUGGCACAUCGAUUGCGACCUGGAUGGACCGCUGGAUUCUGCACACUGUCACUAUGGAGCCAAUGGGGCGCACCGGUGUUGCUCAACUCAACAGAGUUUCGGAUUUGAUCGACAACUACACAAGGCAUUGGAAUAUGGAUGUUGUGCGACAAAAUUUCCUUCAUCCCGACGCAGAGGCUAUACUGAACAUCCCCUUAAACCCUGCGGGAGGAGAGGACUCGCUGGCUUGGGCUCAUGAAAGAUCAGGCAUCUACUCUGUAAAAUCCACGUAUCAUUCUCUUGUGACUCGUAACGAGCUUGGUUCUCUAGAGGAAGGGAUGAUCACAGAAUCAUCAUCGUCAAACGAACAUUUGUGGACUGCCCUAUGGAAGCUUCAUGUGGUACCAAAGGUCAGAGUAUUUUGGUGGAGAGUGCUGCGUGGGAUUCUCCCGGACUCGGUCACCUUGCAAUAG